ensembl:lncRNA
CAUGCAGGCCCAUGAGUUAUGAGUUUAAUCCAUUUGCAUACAAACGCCGGGUCUACAAAGCUGUUUCUCUUUCCUUGGUCUCUUGACUGAGUUCCAGAUUUCUAUAUUCACUGCAUAUUAUGGAUGUCUUAAAGUGAGCACUACCCAAAUCUCUCUGCAUCAGGGCACUCAGAAAUGGACGUAUUACAGGUAUUCACUGAUCUUGCACCCCACCCACGUAUUUCAGUACCACAACAGCUGUUGGCCAAGCAGCAGUAACGAUACAGCUUGUGUCCACACAAAAAUUUCCAGACCACUUAUCAGCAGUUUAGAAGAAAAUCUUGGAAUCAAUAGUAGAGUGCUCCUUUUUUUUUCUUUUCUUUUUCAGGGCUGAAUAUUGAAACCAGGGCCUCCUGGAUGUAAGAAAAGCACUUUAUCACCAAGGUAUAUCCCAGCCCUGGAGCAGCCUUUUAAGAGGCACUUCAUCACUAACACUUGCUGGAACAGGGCUUUCAUUCAACAAAUAUUUCUGAGCACCUACUUUAUACCAAGGACUUUUCUGGAAAGCGAAGAUAAGAUCUGAGCCUGUCUAGUCCAUUGGAGGAUGAACAUGCCUGGUGACAAGUGACAGAGUUGAGAAGACAUUGACUGAUGGUGUGUAUGAGUGCACUGUGGUUGCAAGCAGCACCCAUGUUGUGCCAGGAGGAGAGGUUGAUCUUGGAUCACCUGACUAGCUGAGCAUCAAGUAAACUGCCUGUCUUCUGGGUAGGGGCCAUGAGGUCAAUGGAUUUGUUCUGCCACAUGUUUCUGCCAUGAUGUGGCCUCACCACAGAUCUAAAGGAGUCCACUGAUUAUAAGAUGCACCACUGCAAUUCGACACAACACUGGGAGUCAGACAUGUAUUGGAGGCACAUUAAAACAGGAGAAAAAUAUGCAUCUUAGGCUUGAUGCAAUGCAGAAACAGCUGAAAACUGCUGAGCCUUCUCCAUGAACCAGGCAAGAUCGGGUUUAUCUCAUCAAACAUCUUCACCAGUGAUGCUUGCUACAACGACGAGACCUGUUAUCAGCUCCAGUGUACGAUGAGGACAAGUGAGAUUCAGCCAGGUUAAGUAACUCACAAAGGUCUCAUGGCUCCAAAAUGGCAGAGAAGGGAAUGAGCAAGAGGCCCCCAG